CCGCUUGAUGGAAUAUCAGCCACAGGAAAUCACCGGCUGCCACCUGCCAGUACUGCUGUGGCUGUCGGCUAACCUUCCUCUACUUGGAUUCUUCAUGCCCAUCUUCCAUAAUCUCCAUUAAAGUUGGAAUCAAGGAGCAGCAUAUCCAAGGCUAGAGGACGGAAAAUCGAACCAAGCUUGGGAGGUUAUUUGUGCAUUGUAGCUUUCGAGGAUUUAAUCAUAUUUAUGGAGGAAUUAAUCUCUUGCAAAGUAACUGUAAGGAGUUGAACAAAUUUCUCAAGAAAUCUCUGCACUGGAGAGUGGAAAAAAUACAUGAGGAAAAAGAAUGGAAGAAUUUGGGCUUGAAGACACCUCUCAUUUAUUUAUUCAUUUAGUUGCGAAGCCCAACUUGUAUUUUAUUUAAAACAAAGGACUCUGAUAAUAUAUUUGGUAGACCCAAAUUAUUUAUUUUAUUAGAGUUAACUUUAGUACUAUUUUAAACAUUUAA